rnacentral:rRNA from 1 species
GACGAACCGUGCGAACGUUAUUCGGAAUCACUGGGCUUAAAGCGCGUGUAGGCGGAUGGGAACGUCGGUAGUUGAAAGCCCCCGGCUCAACCGGGGAAGUGGUGCCGAAACGACCCGUCUGGAGGGACGUAGGGGGACCUGGAACUUCCGGUGGAGCGGUGAAAUGCGUUGAUAUCAGAAGGAACGCCGGUGGCGAAAGCGGCGGACUGGACCUCUUCUGACGCUGAGGCGCGAAAGCUAGGGGAGCAAACGGG